GUGAGGAAUAUUGGACAAUGGGCGCAAGCCUGAUCCAGCCAUGCCGCGUGCAGGAAGACGCAUCUAUGGUGUGUAAACUGCUUUUGUACGGGAAGAAACACUCCCUCGUGAGGGAGCUUGACGGUACCGUAAGAAUAAGGAUCGGCUAACUCCGUGCCAGCAGCCGCGGUAAUACGGAGGAUCCAAGCGUUAUCCGGAAUCAUUGGGUUUAAAGGGUCCGUAGGCGGUUUAAUAAGUCAGUGGUGAAAGCCCAUCGCUCAACGAUGGAACGGCCAUUGAUACUGUUAGACUUGAAUUACAAGGUAGUAACUAGAAUAUGUAGUGUAGCGGUGAAAUGCUUAGAUAUUACAUGGAAUACCAAUUGCGAAGGCAGGUUACUACUUGUGGAUUGACGCUGAUGGACGAAAGCGUGGGGAGCGAACAGGAUUAGAUACCCUGGUAGUCC
rnacentral:rRNA from 1 species